rnacentral:tRNA from 1 species
GCGGGGGUGCGCGACAGGCGCGGACCGGACUGAGGACCGGUGCGCGUGAUGAGCGCAAGCUGACACUGAAGUUCAGCCUGAAGACACGGUGACAGUGAAGGUUCGAGUCCUUCCCCCGGCA